rnacentral:sRNA from 1 species
GCUGGGCAUGGUGGCGCAUGCCUGUAAUCCCAGCUACUCCAGAGGCUGAGGCAGGAGAAUUGCUUGAACCCGGGAGGUAGAAGUUGCAGCGAGCCAAGAUUGUGCCACUGCAUUCUAGCCUGGGUGACAAGAGUGAGACUCUGUCUAAAAACAAAAACAAAAUCAACUUUUUCCCCCCUGAGAUGGAGUUUUGCUCUUGUCACCCAGGCUGGAGUGCAGUGGUGUGAUCUCAGCUCACUGCAGCCUCUGCCUCCCAGGUUCAAGUGAUUCUCCUGCCUCAG